CUACGGGCGGCUCCAGUGGGGAAUAUUGCACAAUGGGGGGAACCCUGAUGCAGCCAUGCCGCGUGUGUGAAGAAGGCCUUAGGGUUGUAAAGCACUUUCAGUCGGGAGGAAAGGUUUUGUGUGAAGAAUGCAAGGCUGUGACGUUACCGACAGAAGAAGCACCGGCUAACUCCGUGCCAGCAGCCGCGGUAAUACGGAGGGUGCAAGCGUUAAUCGGAAUAACUGGGCGUAAAGCGCACGCAGGCGGUUUAUCAAGCUAGAUGUGAAAGCCCCGGGCUCAACCUGGGAACCGCAUUUAGAACUGUUGAACUAGAGUCUUGUAGAGGGGGGUAGAAUUCCAGGUGUAGCGGUGAUAUGCGUAGAGAUCUGGAGGAAUACCGGUGGCGAAGGCGGCCUCCUGGACAGAGACUGACGCUCAGGUGCGAAAGCGUGGGGAGCAAACAGGAUUAGAUACCCUAGUAGUC
rnacentral:rRNA from 1 species